UACGAAGGGGGCUAGCGUUGCUCGGAAUCACUGGGCGUAAAGGGUGCGUAGGCGGAUUGUUAAGUCAGGGGGUGAAAUCCUGGAGCUCAACUCCAGAACUGCCCUUGAUACUGGCAAUCUUGAGUCCGGAAGAGGUAAGUGGAACUGCGAGUGUAGAGGGUGAAAUUCGUAGAUAUUCGCAAGAACACCAGUGGCGAAGGCGGAGCUU
rnacentral:rRNA from 1 species